rnacentral:rRNA from 1 species
UACGUAGGGGGCAAGCGUUGUCCGGAAUUACUGGGCGUAAAGCGCGUGUAGGCGGCUCUGCAAGUCGGGUGUGAAAUCCCACGGCUCAACCGUGGAAGUGCACUCGAAACUACGUAGCUGGAGUUCUGGAGAGGAAGGUGGAAUGCUCGGUGUAGAGGUGAAAUUCGUAGAUAUCGAGUGGAACACCGGUGGCGAAGGCGGCCUUCUGGACAGAAACUGACGCUGAGACGCGAAAGCGUGGGGAGCAAACAGG